rnacentral:rRNA from 1 species
AUACGGAGGAUGCGAGCGUUAUCCGGAUUUAUUGGGUUUAAAGGGAGCGUAGGUGGGAUAUUAAGUCAGCUGUGAAAGUUUGGGGCUCAACCUUAAAAUUGCAGUUGAUACUGGUUUCCUUGAGUACGGUACAGGUGGGCGGAAUUCGUGGUGUAGCGGUGAAAUGCUUAGAUAUCACGAAGAACUCCGAUCGCGAAGGCAGCUCACCGGGCCGGAACUGACACUGAUGCUCGAAAGUGCGGGUAUCAAACAGGAUUAGAUACCCUGGUAGUCCGCACAGUAAACGAUGAAUACUCGCUGUUUGCGAUACACUGUAAGCGGCCAAGCGAAAGCGUUAAGUGUUCCACCUGGGGAGUACGCCGGCAACGGUGAAACUCAAAUGAAUUGACGGGG